AUCUUUUGGGAGCUUGCUCCCUUAAGAUUAGCCGCGGACGGGUGAGUAACACGUGGGUAACCUGCCUGUAAGACUGGGAUAACUUCCGGAAACCGGAGCUAAUACCGGAUACUUUCUUUUCUCGCAUGAGGGAAGAUGGAAAGAUGGUUCUGCUAUCACUUACAGAUGGACCCGCGGCGCAUUAGCUAGUUGGUGAGGUAACGGCUCACCAAGGCGACGAUGCAUAGCCGACCUGAGAGGGUGAUCGGCCACACUGGGACUUUUAUACGGCCCAGACUCCUACGGGAGGCAGCACUGGG
rnacentral:misc_RNA from 1 species